rnacentral:rRNA from 1 species
AAUAUUAGUCAAUGCUCGAAAGAGUGAACUAGCUAACUGAAAUCAAUUAAAAAUAAUAAUUGAUAACAUAAGGGAAAAUAAUGAUAUUACCUUAUUAUUAGUGUCGUCCAAAACUGGUGCCAGAAGACUCGGUAAGGCCAGAGACAUAAACGUUAAUCGUCUUAAUCAGGCGUAAAGGGUUUGUAGGCGGCUUUUAAAUUUACUAUAAAUAAAAAUCAAAUAAUAAGUAAAGAAUAAAAGCUAGAAUCAAAUAGAGGAUAUAUGAAAGAAUGCUUAGAGUAGGUCCGAUAUCCUUAGAUACUAAGUAGAAUAUUAAAGGCGAAAGCUUUUUUCCAUUAAUGAUUGACGCUCAGAAACGAAGGUGAGGAUAGGAAAUAGGAUUAGAUACCCAGAAUACCCCUCACUGUCAACGAUGAAUGGUAGUUAUUAGUAUAAAUUUAUUAAUGGCAAUGUUAACACGAUAACCAUUCCGCCUUGUGAGUACAACUGCAAAGUUGAAAACAAAAAAAUUAGUCGGUUUCGGAGCAAACGAAGUGAAGCAUGUUAUUUAAUUC